CACGUAGGGCGCAAGCGUUGUCCGGAAUUAUUGGGCGUAAAGAGCUCGUAGGUGGUUUGUUACGUCUGCUGUGAAAACCUAGGGCUUAACCCUGGGCUUGCAGUGGAUACGGGCAGACUAGAGGUAGGUAGGGGAGAAUGGAAUUCCUGGUGUAGCGGUGAAAUGCGCAGAUAUCAGGAGGAACACCAAUGGCGAAGGCAGCUCGCUGGAACGGUACUGACGCUGAGGCGCGAAAGCGUGGGGAGCGAACGGG
rnacentral:rRNA from 1 species